GUGAAAUGCAUAGAUAUCAUACAGAACACCAAUAGCGAAGGCAGGAUGCUAAAUCUUCACUGACACUGAGACACGAAAGCGUGGGUAGCAAACAGGAUUAGAUACCCUGGUAGUCCACGCCCUAAACUAUGAUCACUAGCUAUUGGAAAAAUUAUAUUCAGUGGCCAAGCUAAAGCGAUAAGUGAUCCACCUGGGAAGUACGAUCGCAAGAUUGAAACUCAAAGGAAUUGACGGGGUUUCGCACAAGCGGUGGAGCAUGUGGUUUAAUUCGAUGAUACGCGAGGAACCUUACCAAGGUUUAAAUGUAUUACGAAUAAGCUGGAAACAACUUAGUCUAUAAGACGUAAUACAAGGUGCUGCAUGGUUGUCUUCAGUUCGUGCUGUGAAGUGUUUGGUUAAGUCCUAUAACGAGCGCAACCCUUAUUGUUAGUUGCCAUCGGGUAAAGCCGGGGACUCUAACAAAACUGCCGGUGUAAAUCGAGAGGAAGGUGGGGAUAAUGUCAAAUCAUCAUGGCCUUUAUGCCUUGGGCUACACACGUGCUACAAUGGCUGGUACAAAGGGCAGCCACUGGGUGACCAGGAGCUAAUCUCUAAAACCAGUCUAAGUUCUGAUUGGAGUCUGCAAUUCGACUUUAUGAAGCUGGAAUCGCUAGUAA
rnacentral:rRNA from 1 species